rnacentral:lncRNA from 1 species
GCACUGCUGAGUUUUGGGAGCAAUUUUCUCCUGUCCUCAUUAAAAGCCUGUGGUUGUCCUGCCUUCCUACUGCUGCUUCCACUGCUCACAGCUACCUUUUGAGUUUCAGAAGCCCAAACACAGAGAUGAAUCUCACAAAGUACCUUUGCCUCCGGUUUCCCGGCUGUGUGGGCUCAGCUUAUUUGUUGCUCAGAGAGUGAAAUAGAUACCUAAAAUCCUGAGAAUUCAGCGAGGAUUUGCUUGUAGGGGAGUGCUGAAACAGCUGCUGAAGCUUUGUCUGGUGAGAUUUUUCCCAGCUGUCUCCCUUCCAUGUGGUUCUCUCCAGGCCUGACAGAUGGGAUGAGCAGUGGCAGGGCUGGGGGAGCAUCCCUGUGCCGGGAUGGGGCCCAUCAAGAUCCCCUUCAUGACAACAGCAUGGAAAACAUCGCUGAGACAGUGGUGUCCUCACUGUGGUGGAUGCAGGGACAGGAGGAUCAGCUCUGCCUUGUCAACGUGAAGCACAGGGAUUGCCUAAUCUGCUCUCAUUAUUUAAUUAUGUGACUGCACUGGCUUCUGGCCCUAACCCAUCACGACUGGCACUGCAUUCCUGCCCAGCCUGCAGGCACCUCCAGCUCUGGUGACUAUGGGAAGUGUGUCCUCAUAUUCUCUGCCUAUUGAGUGUGAGGGGGC